UACAGAGGGGGCAAGCGUUGUUCGGAAUUACUGGGCGUAAAGGGCGCGUAGGCGGCCUUCUAAGUCAGACGUGAAAUCCCUCGGCUCAACCGGGGAACUGCGUCUGAGACUGGAAGGCUUGAAUCCGGGAGAGGGAUGUGGAAUUCCAGGUGUAGCGGUGAAAUGCGUAGAUAUCUGGAGGAACACCGAUGGCGAAGGCGGCAUCCUGGACCGGUAUUGACGCUGAGGCGCGAAAGCCAGGGGAGCAAACGGG
rnacentral:rRNA from 1 species